rnacentral:rRNA from 1 species
UGGCGCGGCUUACACAUGCAGUCGAGCGCCCCGCAGGGGAGCGGCAGACGGGUGAGUAACGCGUGGGAAUCUACCUUUUGCUACGGAACAACAGUUGGAAACGACUGCUAAUACCGUAUGUGCCCUUCGGGGGAAAGAUUUAUCGGCAAAGGAUGAGCCCGCGUUGGAUUAGCUAGUUGGUGAGGUAAAGGCUCACCAAGGCGACGAUCCAUAGCUGGUCUGAGAGGAUGAUCAGCCACACUGGGACUGAGACACGGCCCAGACUCCUACGGGAGGCAGCAGUGGGGAAUAUUGGACAAUGGGCGCAAGCCUGAUCCAGCCAUGCCGCGUGAGUGAUGAAGGCCCUAGGGUUGUAAAGCUCUUUCACCGGUGAAGAUAAUGACGGUAACCGGAGAAGAAGCCCCGGCUAACUUCGUGCCAGCAGCCGCGGUAAUACGAAGGGGGCUAGCGUUGUUCGGAUUUACUGGGCGUAAAGCGCACGUAGGCGGAUUUUUAAGUCAGGGGUGAAAUCCCGGGGCUCAACCCCGGAACUGCCUUUGAUACUGGAAGUCUUGAGUAUGGUAGAGGUGAGUGGAAUUCCGAGUGUAGAGGUGAAAUUCGUAGAUAUUCGGAGGAACACCAGUGGCGAAGGCGGCUCACUGGACCAUUACUGACGC